GCCUGCUGGCCGAUGGACUGUUCGCGCUGGCUGUCGCGACCGGUGACGCGGCAUGGGCGACGACGGCGCUCGGGAUCCUCGACCAGGCAC
rnacentral:tRNA from 1 species